rnacentral:rRNA from 1 species
AGAGUUUGAUCCUGGCUCAGAAUCAACGCUGGCGGCGCGCUUAACACAUGCAAGUCGCACGAGAAAGUGGAGCAAUCCAUGAGUACAGUGGCGUACGGGUGAGUAACACGUGGAUCAUCUACCUCUUAGUGGGGAAUAACCCUGGGAAACCGGGGCUAAUACCGCAUAAGCUCGAGAGAGGAAAGCAGCAAUGCGCUGAGAGAGGAGUCCGCGGCCGAUUAGCUAGUUGGCAGGGUAAACGCCUACCAAGGCAAAGAUCGGUAGCCGGCCUGAGAGGGCACACGGCCACACUGGCACUGAAACACGGGCCAGACUCCUACGGGAGGCAGCAGUGGGGAAUCUUGCACAAUGGGGGAAACCCUGAUGCAGCGACGCCGCGUGAGCGAUGAAGCCCUUCGGGGUGUAAAGCUCUUUCGGCAGGGAAGAUCAUGACGGUACCUGCAGAAGCAGCUGCGGCUAACUACGUGCCAGCAGCCGCGGUAAUACGUAGGCAGCGAGCGUUGUUCGGAGUUACUGGGCGUAAAGGGUGUGUAGGCGGUUGCUUAAGUUUGGUGUGAAAUCUCCCGGCUCAACUGGGAGGGUGCGCCGAAUACUGAGUGACUCGAGUGCGGGAGAGGAGAGUGGAAUUCCUGGUGUAGCGGCGAAAUGCGUAGAUAUCAGGAGGAACACCGGCGGUGUAGACGGCUCUCUGGACCGUAACUGACGCUGAGACACGAAAGCGUGGGUAGCAAACAGGAUUAGAUACCCUGGUAGUCCACGCCCUAAACGAUGCAUAUUUGGUGUGGGUCAUUCAGUUGAUCCGUGCCGGAGCUAACGCGUUAAAUAUGCCGCCUGGGGAGUACAGUCGCAAGGCUGAAACUCAAAGGAAUUGACGGGGGCCCGCACAAGCGGUGGAGCAUGUGGUUCAUUCGACGCACGCGAGGAACCUUACCUGGGCUCGAACGGCUGGUUACCGGCGGUGGAAACAUCGCUACCCCGCAAGGGGGUCCAGUCGAGGUG